UUUAUUCCUGGAGGUUCCCAAGGUAUACCAUUGAGUGUGUACAGAGCCUAGCCAUGUGGAGGCACCGCCAAUUUUUUAUUCCUUUGGGGGCAAAGGGACUGCAGCAGAGGUGUGGAUAGAGGAUUCCCACCUAUCCAUCAACCACUGGGAUACUCAGGAUCUCCUUGAAUGUCAACAACAUCAGGCGCCCAGGCACACAGGACAUCUGGGCAACAAAAGUUCCAAAUUGUAGGCAGUGUCAGCUCGAAGUGACUCCAGGUUGACCCACAAACUGACGUGUCACCAACUGAUGUGACACCUUAGCCAAGAGGGCAAAAUGCUGCUGGAAGGACUGGAAACAAACCCAGGUCUCCAUGUGGAAGAUGGGUGAUGCCUGGAAAUGGCAGGGAAAUUUAAACUCACAAGCUAAUAUGAAUGCAAUGAGAAGCUUGAAAAAAGUCAAGAAAC